CCUACGGGAGGCAGCAGUGGGGAAUAUUGGACAAUGGGGUCAACCCUGAUCCAGCCAUGCCGCGUGUGUGAAGAAGGCCCUCGGGUUGUAAAGCACUUUCAGUGAGGAAGAACGCCUGGUGGUUAAUACCCAUCAGGAAAGACAUCACUCACAGAAGAAGCACCGGCUAACUCCGUGCCAGCAGCCGCGGUAAUACGGAGGGUGCGAGCGUUAAUCGGAAUUACUGGGCGUAAAGCGCGCGUAGGUGGCUUGAUAAGCCGGUUGUGAAAGCCCCGGGCUCAACCUGGGAACGGCAUCCGGAACUGUCAAGCUAGAGUGCAGGAGAGGAAGGUAGAAUUCCCGGUGUAGCGGUGAAAUGCGUAGAGAUCGGGAGGAAUACCAGUGGCGAAGGCGGCCUUCUGGACUGACACUGACACUGAGGUGCGAAAGCGUGGGUAGCAAACAGGAUUAGAUACCCGAGUAGUC
rnacentral:rRNA from 1 species